UGGUUUCGGGGUGGGCGGGGGGUGCGGGCAAGCGGGGUUUCACUGCUCCUCUGUCCUCCUGCAGCUCAGCCUCUUCGGAGCCCACCAUCCACAGGGGGCUAGUGCAGGGGACCCAGUGACAGCCUUGGCCCCAGUGAGCUGGGGGCUAGCUCACCCCCGAAUGGUCACCCCUCUCUCCCAAUAGUCGAUUUGCUCCCAUCGCUUGACCUGGAGCUUCUCUGCGCAUCCAGGUCCCUGAACUUCACUCAGGCGUCUGAGCCUCCUGUGGGCGAGGAAGGACUGCUGAGGAAAAGCCCCCCUUCUCUCCGACCCUCCUUCACUCCUGCGGACCCCACAUCACGGCCAACGUUUAUCAGCAGUGAGGAGAGUUGGUGGGGGCUGAACUGAGAUAAUGAGAGAAGUGAGAAGGGGCUGUAUCUCGGGUUUGUGGAGACGUGGCAGCGCCCUGCCUGGGUUUUCUUAGUGUCUUUGCCAAGGCUUAGAAUCAGCCUGGAACUAAGGCGGCUCAGUCCUGUCCACGUAGUCCGGCUCGUUCCUACCCUUGAGUCUGGGAGCCUCCAGCUGCUGGUAAGUUCUCAGCAGGAGAGCAGAGCUUUGCCUGCUGAACUGGCCCCGAUCCUCAAGCUCCAGGCAUCCCAGAAAUGGUCCUUGUAAAGACGGCGACCCGGGGAGCAUCAAUCUACUCUGGAAAGAGGGGUCCGUCUCUGAGACCUCCCCAUAGCGUAGGGCUGACGUUGGAGGCUCACAAUAUGGGCGGCCCCCAGAAAAAUGUCCCUAACACACCCAGCCCCGCUUGCUGACAGAGGGAAUUUGGGUGAUGUCAUUUUUGGGGGGGCAGGUCGUCUAGGAUUUGGUUUAGGGGAAGGUGUGCUGGGAGGAGAUGGGGGGAGAAGCAUGAAGGGAUCCCCGUGACUCUCAGAGGAUGACCCCCGACCACCGAUUUCUCUAUGUUCAUACUCCUUUGCUCUCAUCUCUCCUGUCUGGCUGGCUAGAUCAUCCCAUCCCAGUGUCGCCCCCAUAUCCGACUUCUGGGGAUGUGUCACCCCCUUCUAGUUUUGUCAAGGCAUGGAAGUCGCUUUCUUAACCUAAGAGAAUUUCAUUUUUCCUUCUCAUGUUAAAGAUGAAGGAAAAUGGGCAUGAGAGAUGCUCAGAGUCACCCAGCUUUGUGGAGGCUGAGCGGGCUGCAGCCCCAGGCGCCUGUCCCCAGGGGGCUCCCUCCUGUGUGCACCCUUCCCUCCUCCUCGCUUCAGACCUUCUCACGGACUUCCAGGGGCAGGACUCUGAUGGGUGGAGAGAAAACCCAGUGAGAUGAUAUAUGCAUAUUUCUAUGAACUAUGUAAAGAUUGAACGAGUACAUGUUUAUUGCUUAAGAACUUAGAAAAUGCUACUAUGUAGAAACAGACAAACAAACCCUACCGUGCAAGGGUAACGAUUGUUAACACUUCAUGGUUUCCUAAGGAAUUUUUCCUGUGCAAACAGGAGCUGGGUGAAGGGUCUCUGACCGCUGUUUUUGAUCCACCCUCUUGCCUCCUCCUCCCCAUGUUAGUCUCCUGGGGCCGCCAAAGCACCACAGACAGCAACAGAAACAUCCUCUCUCUCAGUUCUGGAAGCCAGAAGCCUCAGAUCAAGGUGUCGGCAGGGCUGGGUCCCUCUGAGGGCGGUGAGGGAUUCUGGUCCAGUCCUCUCCACUAACUCCUGGAGCUUUGCUCGCCAUCUUUGGGGUCCCUUAGUUUCUGCUGCAUCACCCCCACCUCUGCCUUCCUCUUCACCUGACGUUCUCCCUGUGUGUGUGUCUCUGUGUCCAAAUUUCCCCUUUUUAUAAGGACGCCAAUCCAAUCAUACUGGAUUAGGGCCCACCCUAAUGACCUCAUUUUAACUUGAUCCGCUGCAAAGUCCCUGUUUCUAAGUCAGGUCACAUUCUGAGGUCCUGGGGGCUAUGACCCCAAUAGAUCUCUUUGGGGAACACAAUUCAACCCAUAGCACUUCCCCUCCAGGAGGGGGUCUCGGGGAAGCCCCACGGCUGCCCAGUCCUUCAGGCUGUCGUAAAGAGUGGUCUCUCUCACGUGGCCUCAGUCUAAGGGACCUUUGACUCUCACGGCCAGUUUCAAGCUUCUGCCUCCUGCCAGGGGAACCCUAGGCUGGGACCUCCCCACAUGAAGGGCCUGUGGUCUGUUCUGUCUCUGCUCCUCCUUAACUUCUCCUUCAACCCACUGGAUUUCUUCUUUCUCCUCCAGGGUCAGGCUCUAUAUGAGGAGGGGGAGACAGAGGGAAAGUAACACCAAUUUUUCCUUUCUUGGUGCUAUCUGUCGCUCUCACCUGCCUAAUCCUGGCUGCCCUCCAUUAUGCAGGAGGCCGCAGGAUGGCUCUACGUGGGGCGAACAGCCUAGGACGCCAGCAGGGGCUCUGUAGCAGACGUCUGUGCUGACCCCCAGCUCCUGGCCCAGUGGUCCUGCCUCUCAGGGCCAGCUGUCCUCGCCCUGCAGGCAGCCUGCUUGCACAGCAUCCUUGCAGUAAAGGUCAAGUCCGCUGAGUUCACAGCCAUCCUCUUGGCACCUGGGAACUCCUGCAUCCUUGUUCCAGCAAAUGCAGGCUCUGCAGGUGGUUCCCGCUUGUAACCCCCGCCCCCCCCCCCCAACCUGGCCACCAUGGGUGGCCUUAGCCAGCCUCUAACUAGCCAAUUCUUCAGCUGGCUCCUGUUUGUGGGUUCCGGCACGCCCUAAACUUUCCCAGGAGCUCUCUCGUGCUCCCUUCUGGUGAACUACCAUGUGCCUAAGAGUUUCUGCAGCUGGGCACAUGUCCACCCUGGGGCGCGAGGUGAGUUCUCCCCUUUUGUCAGGCUCCCUCCAGUCUCCAUGAACAGUCCUUGUGCAGCCCUCUCUUCCGGCUUGGGAGGCAGCAGUCCCCAGUGGGGAGGGGAGGAAAAUCCCAUAGAAUGCUCCCGCAAUAGACAGCUCUCCCUCAGCUCUUUCCCUCUCCCAGAGAAAGGAGUCUGUUAGGAUGUGUCGAGCCGCUCCUCCUUAGAAUCUGGGGCAUUUGGGAUUUAGCUAAAACUCUAAGGCACCUGGGAAAAUCCCAGCCAUCCUCCUGUUACCUAUCUGUGAAUCAUAUGCUUAUGUACCCUGUGUUUUCCACUUACUGGUGUUGCUGGAAGAUCUUUCCACGUCAGAUAUUUCUUCUGUAAUAUUUUAAGUUGAUUCAUAGCUUGACAUGCUUUAAUUGUAUCAUAAUUGAUUAACCAAUCUCUUAUUUUUAAGCACUUCCGUAGCCUCCACUUUUUUUAAAACCUCCCUCAGAAUUCUUUACUGAGUUUUCGGUAAUUCUAGAGUUUUAGUGUCUCUGCAGACUUCUUGGAUCAAACUCCAGUGUGUCUCUGUCCUGAGUAGGAACGUACCUAAGACCGACCUCGUGUCUAUUCAGGAGAGAGAUAGGUGUGGGGUCCCGUUGAUGCUUCCGGCCACAGUAAAUUUGCUCCUGAACCUUCGUGUUCCUGUUCCCUGGGAAAAUGAGGAAAGGAGGAGGAGGGCUCAGGAGAAGUCACCAGAUCUUGUCCCAUGUUUGGUGUUUCCUCUUCCCAGACCAGCCGGCAAGGAUCAUGGGCCAGGGGUCCUUGUCAUUCAGAGACGUGGCCGUGGGCUUCACUCGUAAAGAAUGGCAGCAGCUGGACCCCACGCAGAGGACCCUGUACCGGGAUGUCAUGCUGGAGAAUUAUAGCCACCUGGUCUCAGUGGGGUGUCAAGUCAGCAAACCAGCUGUGAUCUCCAGGUUGGAGCAGGGGCAAGAAGCAUGGGUGGAGGACGAAGAGAUCCUCGAAUGGAGCUUUCCAGGCAACUGUUCUUAAAAGCCUGGGAUCUUUGCAAGCAGCUGUGGACAUUUGGCCCAAGACCUUGAGAUGCCCGCAUGAUUCCUGCCACCUGCACACAUCACUGCAUGAUCACUCUCCUUUCCUGGAUUAUUAGAGAAAGACAUAUUCUAUUCUUAUUUAGCCUUUGGUUCUACCCUGCUCUCCCCAUGUAAGACCUUGCUUGCUCAGUCUUUCUCUAGAAUCUUCCGUCUUACACUUUUCCCCAUGGUUAUGAAAUAGACUUUCUUAUACUUUCAGGAAUUCGUAGAUUUGCCCUAUUUUAAAAUAACUGUGUCAUUUUGGGGGAUUCAUUUUUCUUUUCAUCCUUUUUUCUUUUCUCUUCUUUCUUUUACCCUGAAAUGCCUCAAACACUGAUUUGCUACCUUUUAUAUGACCUUAAACUUCUCUUCUUUCAAAACCAUGUAAUAUGGUCCCAUUUUGCCUAAUAGGUUAUAACUAAAGCUUUUCCCCCACUUCAGUGUAAUCCCAUGGGGAGAAGACCUUUAAUUUGUUCGUCCUUAUUUCUGUGGGAUGCACAUGGUGGACACUGACUAACUCCCUCUUCUUUCCAGGACAACGGUCCUUUAUCAAGCGUUUGUUCAGGGCAGUCGUUAUUAAUCAUGGGUGCACACCAGAAUCACCUGAGAAACUUGGAAAACACCCCCAGGCUGGGUCCCAACCCAGAAAAUCUGAUGAGGAAAGAUCAGGAGGCGUUGAUUUUGUCUCUUAGGAAUUCAGCACUGGGGCUUACACAUCUGUAGACAAACAGGUUCCAUGGUUUGAUUGGCGUAUGGGUACCAGGGAGAAACAGCACGUACCACAUGUGGUUUCAAACAUCAGUGAAGACAAAAGCAAAUAGGGAUCUAAGCAGAGGGUGGAGAACCCAACAUUUAAGAUUCUCAAAGUAGAUUCCGUAGUGACGUGGAAACCAACACGCCCGAGGGACGUUAAUACGGGUUUAGUGAGGGGCUGGUCUGCAGCCAAGGCCGUCAGACCGAUGGGAAGGGCACACAGGACUUGGUUGUCAGCCAGAUUUGGUAUCAGGGAACCACGACUGAAGGAAACGGUCAUCCCAGCAAUCAGAAUACAACAGGGAGUCUGCCAGAGCAAGGACGGCUAGCGUUGUGCCUAGGGUACUUAUUCUUGUGUCCUUACACUGGACAUCAGAAAGAUCUUGUAGGUCCAUGUGAGACUAAAUCGCUGCAGAAUGGACCUCCGGCCCUGAGAUAAGUCCUUUAACAAGAAAGGACUUGAUGCUUCGAGAAAAUUCAUCCGGGAGGCAGAAGGAAGGGGAACACAAGGUGGCAAGGACACGGACGUGCGGACGACGGAAGAGCCUAUCUGUAACCUGGGAUAAACGGAGGGAGCUCACAUUCGGUUUUACUUCUUUCAGCCUGAGUCCUUCGCUCAUGUUUCCGAAACAUCCUUCUCUCUAGGUUCCCCUGGAAACUCUAGUCUUUCUUUAGUCUUUGCUCAUAGUUUGCUCGAAUAUCCUUGUCUCCUGAUGGGACCUCCUUAUUAUGUGCCCCCCUCAUCGAGGGAUGCUAGAGCUGGUGCUGGCCUGUGACAGCCGGUUGUGGCUGACCCUUCCCAGCUCUGCGCUCAGUGACGUCAUCUUGGUGGCUUGAAAUUGGCCCUGGUGGGGGGGGGGGGGUGGUGUUUUCACCAUGGAAAUUGGUGAAUGCCACACAUCAGGGUUUUCCUGCCCCUGGGGAGCUGGUUCUUCAGCACAUCAGGGCCUUGAAUCCACUGCUCUUCCAGUUUUUCUCUCUUACUCACUUUUCCUUGCGUGUGUUUCUGCUUUCUUCCCAGUUUACUGUGCCAGACUUGUUGAUAGCAAAGCGAAUUCCAGUCAUCGUGAAUGUUUUAUCCCUGUUUCCAGCAUCUCAUUGUUUUUUUUUACAAAAGCCAAGGGAGUAGAAAGUGUUUGUAGUAGGAUUAGGAUUAUGGUUACUUAAUCUGGACAGUUAGGUUGGAAACCUCAAACUUAAUCCUCCCUCCAAACAUUUCUGAAAUAAUUUAGAUCUGUGAUCUGAUCCUGAAAAGAUUAACAAGUUUGUGUCCUUAUUUUUUUUUCCUAGAAGAAGUUUUGCAAGUUGAUACCCAAGAAGAUAGACAACAGGAACACCAAGACAAGCUUUUGAGGCAAGUUGCAUUCCUAGACAAGAACAAGUCAACCACAGAAGGGCACCAUGAAUGUCAUCCGGUUGAAAAAGAAACGUGUCAGAACACAAACGGUGUUCCUUCAAGACAACAGGUCCACCAAUGUGACUCAUGUGGGACAAGUUUGAAAUGUAACGUAGACGUUAGUCCUAGCGCGUACCUUGCAAGAAGGAGAUUUGAGUGUGAUGGACAGGGGACCUUAUUUCUCUAUUCUAAGCUGGAAACGCCACGUUCUGGAGGGCAUGCCCGUGAAUGUAGCCACUGUAGAAAAGCUUUUAGCCAUGACCAAGCCCUUAACGCCCAUCAGGGAACCGACAAUGGUGAGAAACCCCACGAAUGUACCGAGUGUGGAAAAGGCUUUUCCCACAAAUCAGAACUCGUUACACAUCAGAGGGUCCACAGAGGCGAGAAAUCCAAUGGAUGCACCGAACAGGGGUCUGGCUUCAGGGAGGAAGUUUGCCUCAACGAACGGGGAAAUCACACCAAAGAGAGACCCAGUGGAAACGGUGGUUGUGGUAACACGCUCUCUCAGAAGACAAGCCUGUCUGUCCCGGAGACGGUUCUUGCUGGAGAGAAGCCCUAUAGGUGUACAGAGUGUGAGAAAACCUUCUCGCACAAGUCACGUCUCAUCGAACAUCAUAGGUCUCACACGGGAGAGAAGCCCUACGGCUGCAAGGAAUGCGGGAAAUCUUUCUCCCGGAAGUCGUGCCUCAUCAUCCAUUACCGCAUCCACACAGGAGAGAAGCCCUACGCAUGCAGCGAGUGCGGGAAGGCCUUUUUCCAGAAGUCACACCUCAUUCUCCACCAGAGGACUCACACAGGGGAGAAACCCUAUGAGUGCAGUGAGUGUGGGAAAGCCUUCUCCCAGAACUCAUGCCUUAUCAUCCACAAGAGAACUCACAUGGGAAAGAAGCCCUACGAGUGCUCUGACUGUGGGAAGACGUUCUCCCAGAAGGCUAACCUCAUCAGACAUCACCGAAUUCACACCAGGGAGAAACUGUAUGGGUGAGGUGGGAGGAGGUCUCUUUAAGAAGUCACGACACCUCUAGGAAUGAAAACCUGUGGAUAUUCCGGAUGUGGGAAACCCUUCAGCAAGAAGUCCAGUGCCACUGUGGGCAGACAUUCACACCGAGGUGAAAUUCUACCCAUUUGGAGAAUUAGGAAAAACUUGUUCUCUUAAAACUAAUAAUAGAAGGAUAUUAAUGUU